UUCGGUCCAAACCAGUGGCUCUAACAGUGUCUAAUUGACACAGCGCCACACAAUUGUAUUUCAAACUAAUCUUACCAGUGGGAGAAUUGAAUUGUUAUGCUCUCUCGAGUGCGCGCCUAGAUCCCAACUCCAAAGGUUGAUGAGACGAAGAGAUGAUUGAGCACUUAGACAGGACGUGUUGCGAUUCAAGUAUAAUUAUUCACGGGCCAUUUCGUGAGGAUUUGAAGAAUUUCAUUCUUUUAAAGUGAAAAUAACUGCUUAUAUGAUAUUUAAUUAUUUGAUUGGAUUAAGAAUAAGCGAUCAGUCACUUCUAGAUUCCUUUCAAAAUUCUCUUUUCCAGACAGUUCAGAUUUAUGUGCUGAUGACUUAUGAUUUGUGAAACCUUUUCAGGCAUGCUCAGUGAGGUAUGCUGAUCUGAAGGCAUGCAUUACCCGGCUUCCAGAGAAUGGGUAUGGAUCAAUGAAAUGACAUGGCCUGCACGUUUGCAAACACCACCCAGCAGGCUUCAGAGCAUACAAAUUGAUGCCUACAUACCAAGAAAGGAGCUCUUCAAGGCGGAAUCAAAAUACUGGAAUGAGAUAAUAGCAAGAUAUGGCCGAGUUUUACACUGGACAAAGAUUAGGUUAAGAAAUGUAAUGGACAUGAGAGCUGCUUUGGAGGGUAUCAUAAUCAUCUCAUGCUCUACUCUUCCAUUGUAAUACUGGUUUUACAUUUCUCCUAAUGAGCUAUAAACUGGCUUUGGCAGAUUUGCAGCGGCACUAAUAGAACAAAAUCUUGAUUAUUGGGUUAUGAACGUUGUUCCUGUCAGCGGACCCAACACGCUGCUUGUUAUAUAAUGGAUAUUGUAGUUCAUCAGAUUAAGUAAUUAUAUUGGUCACACCUCAAAUUGUACGUUUUUGAGGUUAUUCGAUCA